UGGGAAAGUAACCCAGAAAACCCUGAUUAGAGAUAACAGACCAGUCUUAUGAACUAAUAUGAUGCCCCUUCUGGCUUGAUCUGUCUUGGUCCUAUCCUAAGGGAAUAGCACAGAACCAGAUGCUGGCUUGGCUAAAUAAGGGCCACGUUCAUGGAAGAGAGAAAAAUUACUAGUUACCCGGAUAUCCUAUUAUAGUUCAUGUAACAGAAGGGACACUAUAUUUGCUCACUGAUGGUAGAAAAAUGUGUAAUCAUUAAAGAAUGACCUUUUUUGUAA